rfam:Triticum urartu cultivar G1812 contig120872, whole genome shotgun sequence.
UGUUUCCUGUGAUGAAUCUUAAGGAUGAUAUCUGACAAAGGUGGCUCCUCAAUGAGUUCUCCUUGCUUGAUUAAGCAUCCUAAACUGAUCGAUUGUUUUGAGCAGACU